rnacentral:snRNA from 1 species
CUCGCUUCUCAGCUCUCUAUGAGCUAAGAUCAAGCGUAGUAUCUGUUCUUAUCAGUUUAAUAUCUGAUAUGUCCUUUAUUUGAGGACUGUAUAUUAAAUUAAUUUUAUCUCAGUUAACUGGGGAUGUUUUGAGGGAGAAAUAGAGAGAGAAAAGCCAAACGCAU